GAUGAAGAACGUAGCGAAAUGCGAUAAGUAAUGUGAAUGGCAGAAUUCAGUGAAUCAUCGAAUCUUUGAACGCACCUUGCACCCUUUGGACUGCUCCAAAGGGUAUGCUCGUUUGAGUGUCAUUGUACUCUCACACUCUCUGAUCCUUUGGAUUUGGGGAGCAGUGGACUUGGGUGCUUGCUGCUUCCUUGUGGCUCACCUGAAAUGCAUCAGUGCAUCUCUCGAUUGGACAUAGUACGGCGUGAUAAGUGUCUUCGCCGGCACCUCAUAUGAGGGUGGCCGAUCGGGAGCUCUGUGCUUUCAAACCGUCUUCGGACAACGCUGACAACUUGACCUCAAAUCGAGUAGGACUACCCGCUGAACUUAAGCAUAUCAAUAAGCGGAGGA
rnacentral:misc_RNA from 1 species